UACGUAGGGCGCAAGCGUUAUCCGGAAUUACUGGGCGUAAAGCGUGCGCAGGCGGCUUUGCAAGACAGAUGUGAAAUCCCCGGGCUUAACCUGGGAACUGCAUUUGUGACUGCAUGGCUGGAGUGCGGCAGAGGGGGAUGGAAUUCCGCGUGUAGCAGUGAAAUGCGUAGAUAUGCGGAGGAACACCGAUGGCGAAGGCAAUCCCCUGGGCCUGCACUGACGCUCAUGCACGAAAGCGUGGGGAGCAAACAGG
rnacentral:rRNA from 1 species